GACGAACGCUGGCGGCGUGCUUAACACAUGCAAGUCGAGCGGUAAGGCCCUUCGGGGUACACGAGCGGCGAACGGGUGAGUAACACGUGGGUGAUCUGCCUCGCACUCUGGGAUAAGCCUGGGAAACUGGGUCUAAUACCGGAUAUGACCGCGAAUCGCAUGGUUUGUGGUGGAAAGAUUUAUCGGUGCGAGAUGGGCCCGCGGCCUAUCAGCUUGUUGGUGGGGUAAUGGCCUACCAAGGCGACGACGGGUAGCCGGCCUGAGAGGGCGACCGGCCACACUGGGACUGAGACACGGCCCAGACUCCUACGGGAGGCAGCAGUGGGGAAUAUUGCACAAUGGGCGGAAGCCUGAUGCAGCGACGCCGCGUGAGGGAUGACGGCCUUCGGGUUGUAAACCUCUUUCGACAGGGACGAAGCGCAAGUGACGGUACCUGUAGAAGAAGCACCGGCCAACUACGUG
rnacentral:rRNA from 1 species